GGCAAGGGACAAGUUGGACAUCGGGGUCCUAAUGGACAGAAGGGCCAACCAGGGAAUCCGGGUAUAAAAGGUAAUCCAGGUUCACAAGGACCCAGAGGAAUGCCGGGUCAGGAUGGUAGAGACGGUCGUGGACCCGCAGGACCCACAGGUAGCAAGGGAGAUCCUGGUUUUCCUGGUUACCCUGGUCUUCAGGGUGAGGAAGGCCAAAAGGGAACCAAAGGACAUCCGGGACAUAAAGGGAACUCAGGUCGACCGGGAAACACAGGCAGACCAGGUGAGGGAGGCGGGAAGGGAGACAAAGGAGGACCAGGAC